UUCCUUUCAUUGUGUUUUGAGUUCUCAGUAAACGCUUGUUAUGUUAAAUGGAAUUGAAUUGAAUGAAGUGAUUGCCACAGUGGUGAUGCAACUAAUUUACUUGUUAAUUUUGAAACGCAUCACCUUCGCAGAGGAGACAAUAGAUGGAAUUAUAGUUACCUGAGUUUCUCAACAGGAAAACAGAAAACACAUUUAAAAACAAACAAAAAACCCAUGAAAAUUAUGCAUGUCAGUUAAUGAUUUUAAUGUAAAUUUCAUUGACAUGAGCACACAUAGAGAAAGCCGUGCAAAAUAUAAGUAUACAUUAUAAUGAAUAUCUUCAAAAUGAACACAACCACGUAACCAGUACCCAGUCAAGAAAUAGAACAUGACUCAUAUUCCAGAAGCCCCUUCCUGUCCCUUUCCUGUCACUAGCCUCCUUUCAGGGUAGCUGCUAGCCAAACUUCUAACAACAUGGAUUUGUUUUACUGUUUGUUUGCUCAUAUGUAUUUCUCUCUCUCUCUCUCUCUCCAUAUUGUCAUAGUUCAUCCAUUCUCACUGCUGUAUAAUACUCCAUCAUGUGAAUAUAGCACAGUUUGCUUAUCCACACUACUAUACAUGAAUAUCUGAGUUGUUCUCAGCUUGAGGUUAUUAUGAAAAGUGCUGCUAUUAAUAUUCUUGGAUAUUUCUCUUCAUGAACACAUGUAUAUUUUUUUGUUGGGUAUAUAUCUAAGAGUGAAAUUGCUGCAUCACAGGGUAUACAAAUGUCUGUCCAGCCUGAGUAAAUACUGGCCCAAUCUUCACACUUCUUUGUAUUCAUGUCAUCAUAAUGCCUUCCCACACUGGCUCGGGGCUUGGUCAUUUGACUUGCUUUGGCCAAUGGACAGUGGAAAAGUUGGUACCAGUAGUGCUCCUACAAGCAAGCACUUGCUUUUUUUGCUCUCUCUCUCUCGUCUGUGACUACCCCUCCAGGUGAGCCUGCCGAAGGAUUUGAAGGACAUGAGGAGAGCUGAGCCAUCCUGGACAGGCCAUCGCACUAGCCAGCCCCAGCCAUUCUGCCAGCUGCACGCGCAAGCCCAGACGCAUAAGAUCAGGCAGAAGUGAUGUCAGACUCCAAAUAUGACAUGAUUACUUCUGGGACCUCAGGGAGAGUAUUUAACUUAUCAGAGUCCCAAUUUCCUUACCUAAAAGAUGGGAGCAAUUGUGCCCAUAUCUAGGGCUGCUGAAAAACAAGAAAGAAGAUGUACAUGAAGUUCUGUACUUGGCACAUUAUGUUGUUCAACAAAAGAACGUUAGCUCCAUGGGAGCAGGAGCUUUGUUUAAUUUACCUUGUAUCUCAGCACCUAGAAGAAUGCCUGGUACAUGGCAGACAUUCAGACAUAUGUAUACCCAAGGACAUAUACCAAACAGAAUAGUGUUAUAUCUCUGGGGCAGAAAGAAAUGAGGAUGAAAGAAGAAAGAGAAAAAUUAUCAACGAACACCGAAGCAGCUCUUACAAGGAAUGAUGAACUGAAGAUGAUGCUAUGAAAACUUAAUGCUUUGUUCCUGAGAGGCAGUGAAUAAAUACCAAAUGAAUAAAA
rnacentral:lncRNA from 1 species